GACGGGGAUAAAAAAUAUGAAAGAGAGAUUUAAAUAGUACUAUCAUUUGUAACCAUUUGCCUUGUUGAGCUCAUGCAUGUUAUCUGUCAUUUAUUGCAUUAAUUUUCCAUACAUGAUUGAUUUGUAACGGUUGAGAUAAUAAUAUCAAAUCGCGUGUAAUCCAUGAUUGACUGAUCCUUUUCAUAUUUAUAGCUAUUAAUGACUUUAAUCAUCAGUGGUUAUUCGCUUAUGUUUAACCCCGAAGCUAAUAGACACGCGAACAACCCGAGGGUGUUGUUUACAUCUUGUGAAUGCGUCAUUCUUCUUUGUCGUAAUAACUCCCAUGACACAUGUCAUUAUGAUAUAAAUUCACGUGGCGAGUUUGUUUUUCACUAAUACAUAAUUCUCAUUUAUGACAUUAUUAGAUGACUUUUUAAUAGAAAUAAAAUAAUCAAGAUUGGAAACAAGCUUAGUAAAAGAAAAACAUAGGCUGAGAGAAAUUUCCUCUGCAUCGUAGAACUGCGAAAUGGGACAUGAAUGAAUGCAUGCAUUGGCUUCCUGCCCUAUAAAAACUCUCUCAGUCUCUGAUCUCUCCCUAUCUGACCAUCCUCUCCUCUUUCUCUCUCUUCUCUGGGUUCAGAUCUCUCUCAGAGCAAAAAAAUAAAAUAAAAAAACAUCUUUAGAGAGGGAGAGAGGGAAAGAAUGGGCGCCUGUGCUAGCAAGCCUAAUGUGUUGAAUGGUGACGCCCCAGAAGUCGUACCAGAGAAUGUCCCUGCCAAGGAUGCUACGGUUGCGGCUGAAGAAGAGGUGAAGAAGGAGGAGGGUGUCAUUGCGGAUCAUGAUGCCGACAAAUGUCGAUCUCUCAAUAACCUGUUCAAUGUAUGUAUUCAUAUUUCAAUGCCCAAUCUAUAUAUGUUUCUCUUUAUUUCUCUUCGUUUAUUUUUGUGCCUAUGUUCUUGCUUUAAUACGAAAAAUGUAUACUCUCUAUAUUUUAUUUAUAUAGAGGUGUUUAAGAAUACAUACAUAUGAAACAAACAAUUAGAACUUUUGGUUCAAAUAUGAUAUGUUAUACUAGAUAAGAAAUUUAAAGUACCGGAGUUUUUAAUUACAAAAAAAUAAUCAUUUUUUAACAAAGCAAAAUGGAAAGAUUCUGAUAUAAAAUAAAAAGUAUUAGUGAUAACUUUCUUUCUUCCUCUUUUGAUUCAUAUUUUCCACGUCUAAUUUUUUUGUUAAUUCACUUAUGUCCUGCGGUGCAAUUCAUAUCACCGUGAUUAUUGAUGAUCAUUGACCUUUCACAUAUUUAGUUAGGGAAGUUUUUAUGAAUUGAUUUACUUUGUUUAUUUAAUACUUCGGUAUUACUUAAUUUUUGUUAAACAAAACAUCAUUUGAAACGUAAACUUGUAAGUAGAGAAAAAAUAUCAUUUAAACAUAACUUCAAUAUUCUUAUAGAAUAGAAAUAUGAUCUUACAUGAAAUGUUGAAAAAGUUAUCUAAAGACUUUCUAUUGGUUCUUAUUUUUUCCAAUAAUUUUCUAAGGGGUCUAUAAAAUUUCGGUUGUGGAGCUCCUUUAUGCCACAUGGAAGACGUGAAACUUUCAUGCCUAAGACUACUUUUGUUUGAUCUAAAUAUGAAGAGAUCUGAUCAUGAUAAAGGUGAUGGAUACUACCUUGUUUUGGCUAUGACUUACCAUAACCCUUGACAAGAAAGGCUCUGUUAGUUCUUGUUAGCAAUGGCCGUAAUGAAGUUAAAUAAAAAAAUGAAACAGUACUUUCAAACAUACCUAAAGUAUUUUUCGACCUUCUGGUCUUAAAUAUGAUGUGAUAUUUAUAUAAUUAUAAGAUCAUGUCAUUAAGGAUAUAUGAUAAGUGUAUAAUCUGAAAAGGUUUUAUAACAUGAUAAGUUGUGGUUAUUGUUUAAACAGACCAAUUAAGAAGUAGAAAAAGUGACAUAUAAAAUAGAAUGGAUGUAAUACAAUUUAGGAAAAAGGGUCACAUAUACCUCUAUACUUUGGUAUAUUGUUCACAUCCACCCUUCAUUAUACUAUCGGGGCAUAUAUACCCUCGCCAUUAACAAAUUAAAACACCCUCCAUCCAACGUAAAUCCACCAUAUUGAUAAAAUAAUCAUUUUGAAAAAAUUCAUUAACUCAUAACCCAUUAAGCCUAUCAUAUAACAAUAUGGAACCUAGAUUUAUGAGAUAUUUUAACAUAUUUUAUUCAUUUAGAGAGAGACCGAGAAUUAUGGUGGCAGUAGGAUUAGUAAGAACUUAUACUUUUGGUUCUUAGUUGUUCGUGGUGGAAUUAGGAUAUCAUGUUAUCACUUUUGGUUGUAUUUUGUUGUGUUUAUAAUAUGAUAUCCCUUUGUCUAAUGUAAUGCAUACUUGUCAGUUGGCUUGUAUGUUGGUAACAACUAAUAUAUACUUCAACAAUAGUUGUGUUUGUUAAUACAUGAAGUUAGUGUACUUAGGUUGUUAAGUUACUUUCCAACUUGUUGGUGUACUUUCUUUAAUUCUUGAUGAAUUCUUUAGAAUGUAGCUUGAUAUUAAAUUGAAUCUCCUCUAAUUAUUUUCUAAUUUUUGUUCACUAUAAGUUCAGUUGCUACUAAGAAUUAUGAGUAUCCAAUCCCAUAGCUUAGAAUCUAACUUUGGUUCUUAAGGCGUGAUUUAGCGAUAAUUACUCGUUCCCCAAAUGCUUAAAGAAGAAUAAGAAAAUUAUGGUGCGUGAAUACUCAUCAACAAAGGCUCACUGUUGGAGGAAGAAAUACCUCGGUAGCUACCUUAAGACUUCAUAAUUGCAAACCUAAUAAGAUUCUAUAAACAUUCAAGUCAUACUAGAAAGAAAAUCAUGGUGAAUACUCGGUACAAUUCGACAUAGUGAAAAAAAAAAGAAGAGAAGCUAGAAGAAAAAAAGGAAAUUAAAAAAGGUAGAAUAUAAUAACAUACAACAAGGAUAUUAAAAGAAUUGAGACUCAAUAUAUAAUUGAAAAUAUGGUUGUCGGUAUUUUUAUGUCUUUCACUUAUUGAGUUUAACAAGUGACUAGGAAGGAGAUGACUAAUCUAUAAGAAAGAAGUGCAGUAAAUAAAAGGGGUUUAACGGGUUAUUAAUGGGUUUUUAAAAAGAAUAAGUCUUUUUAAUUUGGUUGUUUUCCGUUAGGUGAAGGAAAAGUUUGGAUAACGGUAAGGAUAGAUAUGGCCCGAUAAAAUAACGGAGGGUAAAUAUGAACAAUAUAUUAUAUAAUUUAAUGCACCGUUUGUGAUACAUCUGACCCUAUUAAUGCUCCAGAAUGAAGAGGGGAAGGGAUCGGCAGAAGAGAAAGAAGAGACGUCAGUGCAAAAGGCUUGUGAAGUACCAGCGGAGGCCAAGAAAGAAUUAGAAUUAGUUGAGAAGGUUGUCGAUGAAACUGCGAAAGCUGAUGCUGCUUCUAUUGAUGAGAAGAAAAUAGAGGAAGUAAAAUCAGAAAAUCCGGAUGUGGAGGAAGUAGUAAAACCAUCAUUGGAGAGUAUUCCAUCUCCUGCAGAGAAUAAAGCAGAUGAAGAGAAAGAAGCUCCUGCAGAAAAGACAGUAGAGGAAGUACAACCAGAAACAGAGAAUAUUCCUGCAGAUGAAAAGUCAGCCACUGAAGCUCCAAAAUCUGAAGAGAAGAAAAUAGAAGAGAAAUCAGCUCCCGAGUAUCCAAAAUCUGAAGCUUCUUCUGUGGGGAUUAAAAAAACAGAAGAGAAACCAGCUACAAAGAAAGGCAAGUUUUGGUGGGAUAAGUGAACCAAAUUCACAAGUCAUGGGUACUGAUGUUAUUUUUAACAAGUUCUCUUGAGCAUGAUUUAUUUUAUUUUUACUGUUGAAUAUCAUUCUCAUUUGAUGAAAUUGGUAACGUUGUAUUUUCACCUUCAUAUUCAAAUACUUCAUCGUUUUUCCAUUCUAUACAAAUUUAUUUUCCUUAUUAUUCUAGUUUGAUCAAUACUCAUUACUGAUAUCUCUUUAUGCUGUUGAUUAAAUAGAAUCUAAUUAGAGACCUCCAUUUCUUUGAGUUCAAACAGAACAGGAAAAACGGAAUAUGUGUGUGAUACUUGAAGUUGCUUCAAAUAAUACCUACAUUAAUUAUGUAGUUAGUUGUCUAGUUGUCUUUCGAUUCAGACUUAGAGCCUAUGUUUCGAUUAAGCUAUAAAUAAGAGUGUCAGAGAUAUAAUGAAUGAGGAGAUGAAUCGACGAAGCAACUGUCCUUGAGGAGAAAAUCAUAAUGAAAAAAAAUUGAGAAGAAUUCUAAACUCAAAGUAUUAGAAGGUGUAUGAUCAAUAGGUGUUGCAGCUCCUUUGGUACAAAUGAAUAUAAGUCCCAUGGAUAGAUGAAGAGACGUAUAUAAUUCUGUAUUGCAAAUCUGUUAGAAACUCCACGUAAACUGUUGUAUUUAUGUUUAAAAUACAGUAUCAUUUACAGUUUACACUUCAUGAUUUAAUUAUAUAUAUUUACAUGUUUUGAAAGCAUAUAGGUAUUAUGUUGUAUUUUUAAAGUAAUGAAUGAUUUUCAUGAGUUCUAUGAGUAGUGUUUCGCUCGAUGAAAUUUUACGAAAACGGAUGCCAGUCGCUCGUCCAGAAUUGGGUCAUAAUACUCUUCGCAUGAAAUAAGGUAGUUCUUUGGGACUAAAUACUAAUUCCUCGUGUGUGGAGAUUCUGAAUUGAAAUUAGAAAAUUAUACUGCUACAAGGUUCUCUUAGGAUAAAGAUGAUAGCAAAUCUAUUUUUGGUUAUGUAUUCACUUUAAAUAGGGAUGUAGUGAGUUGGAAAAGUUCCAAGCAAAUACCAAUAGCUAAUUCAGUGACUAAAAUAGAAUAUGUAGCAGCUAGUGAAGUGGCUAAAGAAAGUACAGACGUCUCUGUACCAAUCUAAAAAGAUGCUAACAGUAACACAACAUUGAGUCCAUUAGCCCGCCGAUUAACAUAUAGCCAUAUAUCAGUCUGAAUAAAGUUGAAGAUUCCACCAAGUCUAAAGAAGAUUUUAACAAAAUAGAAAGAGAAAACAAAAUCUUUUUGUAAUCAUCUUCAUUUAUCUUUAUGCUAUCAAAUACAAAUUACAAUAUGAUCUAUCCAAAAUUAAUCAGAGUACUAUGUCCAUUGCUAAAGAACAGAGAGCAGCAACAGCAGAAAUUAGUACAGUUUCUAUCCAGUUAGCUCUAGUAAGAUACAAUUACUACAGUUUGUGCAACGGGCUACAUAAAUUAGGUUACAGAAUCAUUUUCCUGUAUCAGUUACUUCAAUCAAUAUCUAUACACAACUGCCAACGCUUACUACUAAAGAAAUUUCACGAAACUACUAUCUUCAUUCCCUGUUCUACUGCUAUAUCUUAUAGGAUUCUCAUAUGUCAACCUACUUUAUACCUAAUCAAACACUUGAUCCAAAAAAAUGAGUUUCGAAUAUAAAAUUAAUCUUCGCUAAAGAACAUCGCUAGAAAUUUUCAUCAAAUUUAUUUCCAUCGCUAGAAAGUAGAAAUCGCUAGAAAGUAGAAACAUACCUUUGAAAAUUGAAACUAUCGCAAGUUCGCAACAGCAGCAUCUUCGUUUGCCCGGAAUUUGUGAGGACUGAGGAGUGAGGAGUCGGAGCUCGGAAGUCGAAAAUCGCCAGAUCGAAAAUCGCCAAAUCGCCGCUCAACUGUACUGUAAUCUAAAUUGCUAAAUGCUAAUGCCCUAACCACUGACCAGUAACCAGCUAACCUUUAGAGUUUAGGCUUGG
rnacentral:lncRNA from 1 species